ACACGAUGCAUUUCUCGUUCUAACGCUUGCCAAAGACACGAAGAAAGCGGAAAUUUUGCACGAUAUUAUAUUCUAAAUAUUUAUACAGUAGUACACAAAUGAAACAAACACAUUCGAAGUUAGAAAAAAAAAAAGAUGUAAUGGAAAAUACUUACUAUAAGAAAUAUAAAAGAAAAAACUAUCUUUGAUAAUUAUCUAGUACCAAAAAUUUACUACUCUGCAUCCAUGGUAUUAAUCCAUCAACAAAAAGUCCAAUAUCUUGACAAUCAAUUGGGUUUGAAGGUUCAGCCAAAAAGGAGAGAAGAUCUACUCCUAGUUGUUGUCGAAAUUUUGUAUCAGGCUUGGACAAAUGGACAAAGAACCCAUCCAAGUCCUUUGGACGAGUAUAUGCCAUGUUUGGCUAAUCUGAAACAAAAUAAACAUUCAAUAUUGACCUAGGGUAACAUAUUGUGCGAAUAAAAAAUCUAGUCUAUAUCUGGAUGUAAAACAAACAACUUAUAUCUCAGAUUAAAUACGAAAUAUUAAGAAAUGUUGAAUAAGUUCACACCAUUAUAACAAAUAUUAAUCUCAUUAAUUAACCAUUAAAAGUAUUUUAGAUUCUCGUAAUGGAAACAUUAAAAGCUGAAAUUUCUAAUACCCUACAGUAAAAUUUAUAAAUAAGAUAAAACAUAUUGAUAAAUCUAGGUGAGUAGUUCAAAUGUAACAAGCCAAUAUUAAAGAAUCAAACUACCAUCAAAGUGGCAUAACUUCAUGAGAAAUGGUAAUUAAUGAAAUAUAUAUGAAUAUUAAUCUCGAAAUUUAUUUAAAACAUACAGUAAAAUAUAAAUUA